AUGCGUGGAGGGUUUCUAAGUGAAAGGCAGCGGGAGAGAGCGGAGAAGGGAGUGGGCGAUCGCGAAGACGAUCGGGGGAGAAGGCGGUGGGGAGAGGAAGAGGGGAGAAGAGGGUGCGGGGAGAGAAAAGCGCGGCAGGAUGUCGCUGCUGCGAGAAGGUGGGGAGACGGAAACGGGAAGAAAAUGGUGGGGAGGGGAAGAAAACGGUGGCGAGUAAGAGGCUGGGAAACAAGACGAUGGCGAGGGAGAGAAGAGAGUGGGAAGAAGAUUGUGACAGACGUUGCUGCGACAUGGUGGGAGGACACGGGAAGAAAACGGUGUGGGGGAAGAAAACGGGUGGGUAGAAAACGGUUGUGGGAAAGGCGCGGGGAGAAGACGGGGAAGGGAGAAGACGGCGUGGGGAGAAGACAGUGGGGAGAGGAAGAGAGAAGAUGGGGCGGGAGAGAAAAGCGCGGCAGGAAGACGCUGCUGCGAGAAGGUGGGGAGAUGGAGGCGGAAGACGACGGUGGAGAUUAAGAGGCUGGGAAAGAAGACGCUGGGGAGAGAAGAGGGUGGGAAGAGACUGCGGCAGACAGACGCGGCUGCGAAGAGGUGGGAAAACAUGGGAAGAAAACGGUGCGGGGUGAGGAAGAAAACGGUUGCAGUAAUAGGCCGGGAGAAGACGGUGAGGAGAGGGAGGGGGAGGGGAGAAGAGGGAGCGGCGGGAAGACGCUGCUGCGGGAAUAGGCGGGAAGGUGGAGAGGGGAAGCGAGCGGGUGGAGAGGAGGGUGGGGGAGGCCGUGGGGAGAGGGAGACGGGGAGGAAAAGCUGCCGCCACAGGAACCGGUGCUGCGAGGAGGCGGCGAGACUGAGGGGAAGAAAACGGUGGGGAAGAGAAAAAAAACUGCAGGGGAGAAGAAGGUGCGGGAAGAAGACGGUGGGGAGAGGGCAGUAGAGGAUGCGGGAAGACCGCGGUGGGGAAGAAGGAGGAGAGAAGACGUUGAGGAGAGGGAGAGGGGAGAAAAAGGUGGCAAGAAGACGUUGGGGAAGGGAGGGGUGGGAAAGGAGAAGGGUCGGGAAGGAGAGGGGAGGGAAAGGGGAGAAGGUGGGGAAGAAGACGGUUGGAAAGGGGAGAGGGGAAGAAAAGGGUGGGGAGGGAGAAGGGAAGAGGACGGGUUGCGGGGAAGAAGAAGGGAGGGGAAAGUGGCGAAGACGACGUUGGGGAAAGAGACGGAGAGGGGAAAAAGAUCGGUGGGAGAGAAGAGGAUGAAGCAGGGAACGAGGUGGGGAGAGGGGAAGAAAAAGGCAGAAAGACGGGCUGAGAGAGAAGACAGUGCUGGGAGAAGAGGGGAGGGAGAAGGGAAGCGGGGAAAGACGGUGGGAGAAGGUGGUGGGGGAGAAGAAGGCAGUGUGGGAGAAGAGUUGGGGGAAAAAGAAUAGUGAUACUAACGUUUAAAAGUCGUCGUCUUGGAGCUGAAGAAUGAAGUGUUGCUUUAGAGUCCCGGCCUAACUUUGUUCAAUAAAUUCCCACUUCCAAAUAUUUUGCGAUUGCAGUGUGGGUCGUUUUUGGUACUUAGAUCCAGAGCAGUCUCUGAUUGUUAGUGACGGUGCUAUCAAAUUGCAUGCUGUUCACCAGCUAUAAACGAAAAGAUCACAUUUCCUUGAAGCACACUUCAAUAUGUAAUUCAAACACUUUUCUAAGAGACUCAUUGGGGAAAAAAUAGAGGUGUGUACCUUUGGCAUUGAACAUGGAGUCUCUGAUUUUAGAUUGCAUUUGUUUCCCCAAAUCUUUAAGAAUGUGGCAGAAACGUG
rnacentral:lncRNA from 10 species